rnacentral:rRNA from 1 species
GACGAACGCUGGCGGCGUGCUUAACACAUGCAAGUCGAACGGAAAGGCCUUUUCGGAGGUACUCGAGUGGCGAACGGGUGAGUAACACGUGGGUGAUCUGCCCUGCACUCUGGGAUAAGCCUGGGAAACUGGGUCUAAUACCGGAUAGGACCGCACUUUAGUGUGUGUGGUGGCAAGUGUUUUCGGUGUAGGAUGAGCCCGCGGCCUAUCAGCUUGUUGGUGGGGUGAUGGCCUACCAAGGCGGCGACGGGUAGCCGGACUGAGAGGUUGGUCGGCCACAUUGGGACUGAGAUGCGGCCCAGACUCCUACGGGAGGCAGCAGUGGGGAAUCUUGCACAAUGGGCGCAAGCCUGAUGCAGCGACGCCUCGUGGGGGAUGACGGCCUUCGGGUUGUAAACUCCUUUCGCCAGGGACGAAGCGUUUUGUGACGGUACCUGGAGAAGAAGCACCGGCUAACUACGUG